AAACCUGGGGCAUAGCUGAGAGCUCCUUCUGGACCUCGGGGACUGGGAAGUCCAUUCUCAGGUAUCCCAGUGCAACUGACAAAAGUGGAUGCUUGCUAAUUAGCACAAGGACAAAAGCUGGAUGAGAAGCAGAGGGGCUUGGGAAAGAGGCUGAACACAUACUGUGGAGUCCUGAGAGACUUGGUCACAGCUGGAAGAUCGAGUGCCUGGAAGAGCCCAUAU
rnacentral:lncRNA from 12 species